rnacentral:rRNA from 1 species
UUGGAACCUGCCCCAAAGUGAGGAAUAAGCCACCGAAAGGUGGUCUAAUACUUCAUAAUAGUCCAUCUCGUAUGGAUUAAAGCUUUAUGCGCUUUGGAGGGGCCUGCGUAACAUUAGCUUGUUGGUGAGGUAAAAGCUCACCAAGGCUUCGAUGUUUAACUGGUUUGAGAGGAUGACCAGUCACACUGGGACUGAGAUACGGCCCAGACUCCUACGGGAGGCAGCAGUAAGGAAUCUUCCACAAUGGGGCAACCCUGAUGGAGCAAUACCGCGUGCAGGAUGAAGCGUUUCGGCGUGUAAACUGCUUUUAUCACCGAAGAUUAUGACUGUAGGUGAAGAAUAAGGACCGGCUAACUACGUG